CGGGGUGUAGCGCAGCUUGGUAGCGCACCUGCCUUGGGAGCAGGGGGUCGCAUGUUCGAAUCAUGUCGCCCCGACCA
rnacentral:tRNA from 1 species